rnacentral:lncRNA from 1 species
AUUAAAAAAUAAUGGGGUACAGCAGUCAACAAUGAGUUACAACCUUAAUAGUGUACUUGUAGGUACAAUGGAAACCAGAAUUGAUAUACAACGUGUUGCUGGAAUUAUUUCUGUUUGCUUUUUGAUGUCUAUUCCAUUUAUGUGUUUAAUGUGCGUUCUCUCUAAGAACGACAAAUCGAAAUUAUUAGUAUUCUUGUAAGUACUUUCUUUUAAUAACCAAUUUGUAUUUAUCAGUAGUCGUCAACUUUCCUUUAAUAACCAAUUUGUAUUUAUCAGUAGGCGUCAAUGAAAUAACAAAACAAAGAACACAAACUGUAAUUAAGAAAAACUCAUUUAGACGAAAAUGUUUAACAUAUCCGACUUAUUGAUCACAUUAAUGUGUUUGUACGAUCAUCACUGGUGUGUCUAGUGUUUGUGAACUGCGUGUUUUGCCUUAUAAGUUUUGUAUCUUUAAUGAUUCUCAAACCCGGCAUCAUUACAUUAUUUUCCAUAACCCUGACUCUUAUAACACGUACACAAUUAGCAUUUAUAAUUACCUUAAGUGUAACGCUUUCGAAAAAAUGAGAAGGUCAACACUGUGGAUUAAUUUAUUUUUGUAAGUACCAAUUAUCGAGCAUUAAUGGAAACUAUAAUGUUUGUGGAUAUCUAACGUCGUUGUAAUGUUGAGGUCUGCUAACAAUAGAAAAUUUAGGGUAUAUAUUGUGUAGAUUUUCGUUUUGUUAUGAGUAUUGUAUACUAGAAGUUUUUUUGUGUUUUUUUUUUCUUUCAUUUUUUUGUCAUUGGAUUGUCAGUUCGUUAUUGCUGACAGGUUUGAGAGUCCUUUUAUAAUUAAUUAUAAAUUUAACAAAUACAAAUUCGUCAUUAAGGUUGACCACUUUCUGAAGAAUUCCGUUAAGUACAUUAAGGGUUGCAGAGGUUAUCAUACAUAAAAUUUGUAUCAUCUGUAUAUAUAUAAUUAUAUACAUAUACAUGCGUAUUAUAUGUUAUUUAUGUCUCAGACAGAGUUUAUACCUUGACAUUCCCGACUUCAGAUUAAUAUCAGAGCAUAUAAGCUAUUAGCCAGGAAUAUCCCAGUAUACCUUGUUUGAGACCUAAAAUACACAUAAAUUAUGGAUUACGUCUGUCUUUUUAUUUUUCAAGUGCAGAAAUUUUUAAAACAUUCCCAAUCCAACAUGCUUAUUCAUGACAUGAUUAUCGUGUAUUGCUAUUUUAAGUAAUCUAUCUAAUUUGGACAAUUUCUUUCCGUUUUUAGAGUUCAGGUUUUAUAUUUUGUUUCUAUGUGUGUUUAGCUUUGUUUUAUACAUGUUUUUAAUUGGAGGUUCCAAUUAAGGAUAAAAACGUGGUAUAUACCCCGGCAGUUUCCUGAAUAAAUACUGACAUUUCUAUGUUGUUAUCCCAUUACAAAACUCGACUCAUUUAUAAUCCGUCAUAUAAAUGCUUAAAUGGCUUUCUGUUGGAUGUUGAAACAUUGGAGUCCUUUUUUCAUUGAUAUAAUUUUGUAAAUGGGAAAUAAUCUAAUUUAAGUCAUGGUCCAACGUCUUUAAAAAGAGUGAUAUAUAUGAAUGAUAGUUUCAAAAUGUAAAGAAAUAAAUGAAAAAUGUCAAAUAUUCUGAACGUCACUACUACAUGUACUAUGCAUUUAAGAAAUACCCAAAUGUAUGCGUAAAAAUUUAAAUAAUAUUUUGCAAAAUAAAAAUCAUAAUAAUUCAUUCAUACAACACAUAUGUGUUUUUUGUACUUCACAAGACACAACGUGUUGAUUAAUUUGUUUAUUUUCCAGACAUAAUUGCCAACAGAAGAAGAGGCGAGGGUCAAAAGAUUCAUUAAAACAACACCGGAAGAUAGACGAAGAAAUGGCAUUACAAAAUGAUAAAGAAGGGGUAACAUGAUGAAUUCAAGGAGACAUUAGAAAAUGAUAUUCUUCAAUGGAAAUCCAAUUUCUAUAAAUCUGCUAUGAAUUACUUAUUCAUACAUGUAUUGAUUGUCGUAAAUCAGUACAAUUUUCAAUCGUUGAGUUUUAAUUUGAUUUUAAAAAUUGUCUAAAGAUAGAACAAAAAGAUAUGUUUUGCACAACUCUUUUUGUAAUAUUUGUAUUCACAUGCUUUGCUUCAACAUUACAGUUCUAAUUUAUGCAAAUAUCUUAGUGUAUAUUUGUUAAAGUAUAUUGUUGUUGUAAUACAAAGUUAAGAUUGAGAGUUUUUAAGUUUUUUAUAGUUUUGGAAAAACUUAUGUUUAUAUUUCUUUUAUUGAUGAUUUUAUAAUCUAAUCGCCUGUUUAGAUGUAUUCAACAAAUAUCGGCAAUAAUUUUAAAGAGUUAAACAAAGACCAGCGAUAAGACCGUGAAAUAGCUACUAUACACAUAUUUUCAAUCAUUUAAAAACAUAGUAUUGUUAUUUAUUAAUAAUUUAUGUUUUGAAUCAAAUGUGCAAUAAAAUGAAAAAAAACUCAACAUUACCAGACUUAUACAUUUGUGCGAUUCAAUUUUUUUUACCAGCUAUUGUCGAAACCAUAAUAGGAGAUGUGGCAUGAUGAGUGGGUGCGUGUUACUAUGGGUAACCGUACAGUCUUUAACAAUCAACAAAACCAAAGUGGGUAAAGAAGCUACAAAUAGACCCGUUAUGAUCAAAUGUUAAACGAGUUUUAACGUUUUUAUAUACAAGAACAUAAAAAAGACGAAAAGCUAAUACGAUAAUCAGCAAAUGAAAACCACCACUGAUUUACAAGCUGUUGGGCAUGGAUAGCCACACACCAAAUUUGGCAAGCUUAAAUAUAUUGCCUGGGACAGUGCUGAGACAGCACAACAAUAUAACAUGCUACAAAACCAGUUCAAAAGGGUUUGGCUCAUAAGGCUAAUGUAGUGCAAAACAAACAAAUACACUUGAAAGGCAAAGAACCGAUCUAAGAGUUCUACCAUUUAUUUAAAAGCCUAACACCAAAAAAAAAUAAAAAAAAAUUACAACAUUAAUUUACGGGAAUACUGUACAAAUAAAUACAAGAACACUCAAAACAGAAAAAUACAAAAAUAAACAAAAACACAUUUAAUAAUACCUUUUGUUUUGACAUAUUCACUGCAGAAUAACAUCGAAUUUUUAAAAUGAAGAAGGACAGUAGACAAAAACAGCACAAUAGAAAUAAAAACUGUAUGUAUGUCACACGAAUGUAUCAGCGUCACAAAAAGUAACGUCACAGGUAAAUUUCUAUUAAUUGGAUAUACAUCAAUAUUAGGUUAUGUUAACUGAUGUAUUUUAUAACAAAUAC